AUUGAACGCUGGCGGCAUGCCUAACACAUGCAAGUCGAGCGGAGCGGCGGACGGGGGCGUAAUGCCAAUGAAUCUGCCUGGUAGUGGGGGAUAACGUCCGGAACCGGGCGCUAAUACCGCAUACUAUCAGAUGAGCCUAGGUCGGCUUAGCUAGUUGGGGGGGUAAAGGCCUACCAAGGCGACGAUCCGGAACUGGUCUGGGAGGCUGAUCAGUCACACUGGAACUGAGACACGGUCCAGACGCCUACGGGAGGCAGCAGUGGGGAAUAUUGGACAAUGGGCGAAAGCCUGAUACAGCCAUGCCGCGUGUGUGAAGAAGGUCUUCGGAUUGUAAAGCACUUUAAGUUGGGAGGCGUUACCAACAGAAUAAGCACCGGCUAACUUCGUGCCAGCAGCCGCGGUAAUUC
rnacentral:rRNA from 1 species